rnacentral:rRNA from 1 species
UACAGAGGUCUCAAGCGUUGUUCGGAUUUAUUGGGCGUAAAGGGCGCGUAGGCGGCUUGGCAAGUCAAAGGUGAAAUCCCUCGGCCUAACCGAGGAACUGCCUUUGAAACUGCUUGGCUUGAGGCCGGGAGAGGGUAGCGGAAUUCCCAGUGUAGCGGUGAAAUGCGUAGAUAUUGGGAGGAACACCGGUGGCGAAGGCGGGUCUCUGGGCAACAACUGGCGCUGAGGAGCGAAAGCGUGGGGAGCGAACAGG